rnacentral:rRNA from 1 species
GAUGAACGCUGGCGGCGUGCCUAAUACAUGCGAGUCGAGCGAACGGACGAGGAGCUUGCUCCUCUGACGUUAGCGGCGGACGGGUGAGUAACACGUGGAUAACCUACCUAUAAGACUGGGAUAACUUCGGGAAACCGGAGCUAAUACCGGAUAAUAUAUUGAACCGCAUGGUUCAAUAGUGAAAGACGGUUUUGCUGUCACUUAUAGAUGGAUCCGCGCCGCAUUAGCUAGUUGGUAAGGUAACGGCUUACCAAGGCGACGAUGCGUAGCCGACCUGAGAGGGUGAUCGGCCACACUGGAACUGAGACACGGUCCAGACUCCUACGGGAGGCAGCAGUAGGGAAUCUUCCGCAAUGGGCGAAAGCCUGACGGAGCAACGCCGCGUGAGUGAUGAAGGUCUUCGGAUCGUAAAACUCUGUUAUUAGGGAAGAACAAAUGUGUAAGUAACUAUGCACGUCUUGACGGUACCUAAUCAGAAAGCCACGGCUAACUACGUG